UACGUAGGUCCCGAGCGUUGUCCGGAUUUAUUGGGCGUAAAGCGAGCGCAGGUGGUUUAUUAAGUCUGGUGUAAAAGGCAGUGGCUCAACCAUUGUAUGCAUUGGAAACUGGUAGACUAGAGUGCAGGAGAGGAGAGUGGAAUUCCAUGUGUAGCGGUGAAAUGCGUAGAUAUAUGGAGGAACACCGGUGGCGAAAGCGGCUCUCUGGCCUGUAACUGACACUGAGGCUCGAAAGCGUGGGGAGCAAAUAGG
rnacentral:rRNA from 1 species